rnacentral:rRNA from 1 species
GACGAACCGUGCGAACGUUGUUCGGAAUCACUGGGCUUAAAGGGCGCGUAGGCGGGUGUGCAAGUCUGCGGUGAAAGCCUCCAGCUUAACUGGAGAAGUGCCGUGGAUACUGCUCAUCUUGAGGAGGGUAGGGGCAUCUGGAACGGUCGGUGGAGCGGUGAAAUGCGUUGAUAUCGACCGGAACUCCGGUGGCGAAGGCGAGGUGCUGGACCCUUUCUGACGCUGAGGCGCGAAAGCAUGGGGAGCGAACAGG